rnacentral:rRNA from 1 species
AACGGCCGUACCAUGCUGAAUAUACCGGUUCUCUUUAGAUCACCGAAGUCAAGCAUCAUUGGGCGCGGUCAGUACUUGGGUGGGUGACCACCUGGGAAUACUGCGUGCCGUU